rnacentral:lncRNA from 1 species
UUUUUUCGGCACUCGCUUCCUUCGUCUUAAGUAAAGUUCAGUUUACUUUUUCGAUUCGAAACUCUUAGUCGAGCUGAUGGCGAGAUCGAUUUUUUGUUCGAGGUUCAAGAGGAAGGAGAGGAACCACCGCCCAAUGGUGCUUUUACGAAAGUAUGGACUCCUCCUGUUCGAACCGGGGUUUGAAAUCGAACUCCUCCUCAGGAGGAUAGAUGGGGCGAUUCGGGUGAUG